rnacentral:rRNA from 1 species
CUACGUGCCAGCAGCCGCGGUAAUACGGAGGGUGCGAGCGUUAAUCGGAAUAACUGGGCGUAAAGGGCACGCAGGCGGUGACUUAAGUGAGGUGUGAAAGCCCCGGGCUUAACCUGGGAAUUGCAUUUCAUACUGGGUCGCUAGAGUACUUUAGGGAGGGGUAGAAUUCCACGUGUAGCGGUGAAAUGCGUAGAGAUGUGGAGGAAUACCGAAGGCGAAGGCAGCCCCUUGGGAAUGUACUGACGCUCAUGUGCGAAAGCGUGGGGAGCAAACAGGAUUAGAUACCCUGGUAGUCCACGCUGUAAACGAUGUCGAUUUGGGGGUUGAACUUUAGGUUUGGCGCCCGUAGCUAACGUGAUAAAUCGACCGCCUGGGGAGUACGGCCGCAAGGUUAAAACUCAAAUGAAUUGACGGGGGCCCGCACAAGCGGUGGAGCAUGUGGUUUAAUUCGAUGCAACGCGAAGAACCUUACCUACUCUUGACAUCCAGAGGACAUUC